rnacentral:tRNA from 1 species
GGGGUAGUAGCUCAGUUGGUUAGAGCGCCGGCCUGUCACGCCGGAGGUCGCGGGAUCAAGUCCCGUCUAUCCCGCCA